AGAAGCUCUUGACACAGAUUUCGUGUGAUUCUGCCGUUGAAAAUGUAUGUGACAAAAAUACUCCUAUGUUAUGUUCUUAAAUAUCGUGUAAAAGCAGAACACCAUUUAAAACAAAUUACCUGGCUGCUUGUCAUAGGCCUGGAUAUGUAACCUGGCAACAAUGAUACGAGGUAAUUGGACUGGAGAAUUCGAUACUACGAUGGAGCAGCUGAGAGUGGCCAUUGUCACAGUAAAUUCUACCGGAGUGGACGCAGGAC